rnacentral:rRNA from 1 species
UGGGGGAUAUUGCGCAAUGGGCGAAAGCCUGACGCAGCGACGCCGCGUGGGUGAUGAAGGCCUUCGGGUCGUAAAGCCCUGUCGAGGGGGAAGAAACGGUGCCGGCCUAACACGUCGGUGCCCUGACGGUACCCCUAAAGGAAGCACCGGCUAACUCCGUGCCAGCAGCCGCGGUAAUACGGAGGGUGCGAGCGUUGUUCGGAAUCACUGGGCGUAAAGGGCGUGUAGGCGGUCCGUUAAGUCUGAUGUGAAAGCCCGGGGCUUACCCCCGGAAGUGCAUUGGAAACUGGCGGACUCGAGUCCCGGAGAGGAAGGUGGAAUUCCUGGUGUAGCGGUGAAAUGCGUAGAUAUCAGGAGGAACACCGGCGGCGAAGGCGGCCUUCUGGACGGUGACUGACGCUGAGACGCGAAAGCGUGGGGAGCAAACAG